rnacentral:rRNA from 1 species
AUUGAACGCUGGCGGCAGGCUUAACACAUGCAAGUCGAGCGGGGUGAUGGUGCUUGCACUAUCACUUAGCGGCGGACGGGUGAGUAAUGCUUAGGAAUCUGCCUAUUAGUGGGGGACAACAUCUCGAAAGGGAUGCUAGUACCGCAUACGUCCUACGGGAGAAAGCAGGGGAUCACUUGUGACCUUGCGCUAAUAGAUGGGCCUAGGUCGGAUUAGCUAGUUGGUGGGGUGAAGGCCUACCAAGGCGACGAUCUGUAGCGGGUCUGAGAGGAUGAUCCGCCACACUGGGACUGAGACGCGGCGCAGACUCCUACGUUAGGCAGCAGUGGGGAAUAUUGGACAAUGGGCGGAACCCUGAUCCAGCCAUGCCGCGUGUGUGGAGAAGGCCUUAUGGUUGUAAAGCACUUUAAGCGAGGAGGAGGCUCUUUUGGUUAAUACCCAGAAUGAGUGGACGUUACUCGCAGAAUAAGCACCGGCUAACUCUGUGCCAGCCGCCGCAGUAA